AGCAGCCGCGGUAAUUCCAGCUCCAAUAGCGUAUAUUAAAGUUGUUGCAGUUAAAAAGCUCGUAGUUGAAUUUCGGGGUUAGUAGGUUGGUCAUGCCUCUGGUAUGUACUGGUCUCACUGAUUCCUCCUUCCUGAUGAACCUUAAUGCCAUUAAUUUGGUGUUUUGGGGAAUUUGGACUGUUACUUUGAAAAAAUUAGAGUGUUUAAAGCAAGCUAACGCUUGAAUACAUUAGCAUGGAAUAAUGAAAUAGGGCGUUCGAUCCUAUUUUGUUGGUUUCUAGGAUUGACGUAAUGAUUAAUAGGGAUAGUUGGGGGCAUUAGUAUUCAAUUGUCAGAGGUGAAAUUCUUGGAUUUAUUGAAGACUAACUACUGCGAAAGCAUUUGCCAAGGAUGUUUUCAUUAAUCAAGAACGAAAGUUAGGGGAUCGAAGACGAUCAGAUACCGUCGUAGUCUUAACCAUAAACUAUGCCGACUAGGGAUCGGAUGAUGUUAAUUUUUUUAAUGACUCAUUCGGCGCCUU
rnacentral:rRNA from 1 species